GCCUGCCUAGCUCAAUCGGAUAGAGCGUCAGACUCUUAUGAGGGCACGGUGAAUUGCGUACUUCUGCAAAUCUGAAGGCUGCGAGUUCGACCCUCGCGGUGGGCU